GCUUUGCGGCACGAGUUGUAGAUUGCAGGUUGGAGUCUGUGUGGAAGGCGGUGUCCAAGUCCCUUGGAACAGGGCGCCCAGGAGGGUGAGAGCCCCGUGGGAUGCCGGCGGAAGCAGUGAGGCCCUUCUGACGAGUCGAGUUGUUUGGGAAUGCAGCUCCAAGCGGGUGGUAAAUUCCAUCUAAGGCUAAAUACUGGCGAGAGACCGAUAGCGAACAAGUACUGUGAAGGAAAGAUGAAAAGCACUUUGAAAAGAGAGUGAAACAGCACGUGAAAUUGUUGAAAGGGAAGGGUAUUGCGCCCGACAUGGGGAUUGCGCACCGCUGCCUCUCGUGGGCGGCGCUCUGGGCUUUCCCUGGGCCAGCAUCGGUUCUUGCUGCAGGAGAAGGGGUUCUGGAACGUGGCUCUUCGGAGUGUUAUAGCCAGGGCCAGAUGCUGCGUGCGGGGACCGAGGACUGCGGCCGUGUAGGUCACGGAUGCUGGCA
rnacentral:rRNA from 1 species